AGACGAGUGGCCGAGUGGUUAAGCGAUGGACUGCUAAUCCAUUGUGCUUCUGCACGCGUGGGUUCGAAUCCCAUCCUCGUCGA
rnacentral:tRNA from 1 species